GUCGAACGCUUCUUUUUCCACCGGAGCUUGCUCCACCGGAAAAAGAGGAGUGGCGAACGGGUGAGUAACACGUGGGUAACCUGCCCAUCAGAAGGGGAUAACACUUGGAAACAGGUGCUAAUACCGUAUAACAAUCAAAACCGCAUGGUUUUGAUUUGAAAGGCGCUUUCGGGUGUCGCUGAUGGAUGGACCCGCGGUGCAUUAGCUAGUUGGUGAGGUAACGGCUCACCAAGGCCACGAUGCAUAGCCGACCUGAGAGGGUGAUCGGCCACAUUGGGACUGAGACACGGCCCAAACUCCUACGGGAGGCAGCAGUAGGGAAUCUUCCACAAUGGACAUCGUCCA
rnacentral:rRNA from 1 species